AUUGAACGCUGGCGGCAGGCCUAACACAUGCAAGUCGAACGAGUGGCGGACGGGUGAGUAAUGUCGGGGAAACUGCCUGAUGGAGGGGGAUAACUACUGGAAACGGUAGCUAAUACCGCAUACCAUCGGAUGUGCACAGAUGGGAUUAGCUAGUAGGUGGGGUAAAGGCUCAACUAGGCGACGAUCCCUAGCUGGUCUGAGAGGAUGACCCGCCACACUGGAACUGAGACACGGUCCAGACCCCUACGGGAGGCAGCAGUGGGGAAUAUUGCACAAUGGGCGCAAUCCUGCUGCAGCAAUGCCGCGUGUAUGAAGAAGUCCUUCGGGUUGUAAAGUACUUUCAGCGUUGAGGCGUUACCCGCAGAAGAAGCACCGGCUAACUCCGUGCCAGCAGCCGCGGUAAUUC
rnacentral:rRNA from 1 species